CCCCCUGCCGAGAGACAGGCAUACACACCGCGUCACGCACCGCACAGCACCCGCACCCCCUGAGCGACACACACCGCGUCACGCACCGCUCAGCACCCGCACCCCCUGAGCGACACACACGCACCGCGUCACGCACCGCACAGCACCCGCACCCCCUGAGGGACACACACACCGCGUCACGCACCGCACAGCACCCGCACCCCGCGCACCGCAGCACGGCAGGGCAACAGCCGCCAGCUCAGCUCUAAGGAAAACACUGGCCAGCGAUGAUCCUACCCUGACCCUGCUGGUCAUCGUCCACUAACAUGUAAUGUUACCACUGAAGGUAAGCGAAGAGGCCAAAAGGGAUAAAAAGCAGUAACAGAACUUGAGAGGGUCUCUGGUAAGAGACAUACUGCCUGGAACAGCUGGAAUGCACACCCUGUGUGAACACACAUACAAGGUGAGAGCAGAAUAAAGCCCAAUGCAAUGAUCAUUUCAGAAGUUCAAUAAUUUAUUCCAGAAGAAAAAUUUCUCUGAAUUUCAACAUUCAGAGAAGAUAAGUUUUCUGGUGACCUUCCCUUUUCUAAACCCUGACUUUUCUCACCAUUCGUGGUUCCUCCUCCUCUUGUUUGUUUGCCUCCUGAAACUUCCUCUCCACUCACAUUUGCACCUUUUUCACUCUGUUGUACCUUGUCAACCCCAAAGUCCCAACUCACAAAAGACCCAAACAGGGAAGCUCCCUGAGAAGCUUGCUGUUGAACUCCAUGAAGCCAUUACCCUUCUCUACCCCUGCAUCUUUCAGAUUCAUUCACAUUAAUCAUGUUCAUUUCAGUCAUUUUCGUAAAGAUGGAAACAUCAUGAACUGACACUGGGGAGGUUCUGAUUCAACCUAUGGAAAGGAGAUGAGAAAAAAAAAAAAACAAAACAACACCUGCUCUGUGCCAACCCUAAGAUUCCCAGUCUGAAUUCAGCAUUUGCCCAACUGAUGGGAUUAGAGACCUCCCAUGAUCUUUUCUGAACAGAAUGUUCUGUACAGUUCCAUGGUGAUUCUGUGCUUGGGGUCAGGAGCUAGUGAACCUGCGAGGCUAGUACUCAUUUAACUCAUUUAAAACACCUAUUAAAAUGUUCUUUGGUAUGCCCUUCCAAACAACUUUACUAACAGCUAUACAUACUUGAAGCAGGACCAAGAGGAACCGGUAUCUUGGAACUCAAGGUAAAGACCUAGAUACUUAUAUUUUCUACUAUAGUUAUAUUUGUAGUACAUCCAGACCAUAAGUUUCUUCAGUCCUUCAGGAAUAUAUAGACAGCAGUUCUCAAUUUAGAGAGGCUGAUUUCAGUAGUAAGGUAAGAAUGACAAUCCCCAAAAUAUCAAUUCUCCUUCCUCCACUUUCCUGCACAUUCUGCUGUUAAGUCCCAGCUACACCUAUACUAACUCAUCUUGUGAGCAACAUCUUAAAAUUAGGAAGUUUAUAUUGCCCUAAGUUUUUGCUGUAACUUUUUUUUUUCCUCACCUCUCAAAAUACUACCAUGAUGGUAUUCUUGGAAGCCAAAGGACAUAAUGCCUUUCCCUACAGAUAGUUUCUAAUUACAAGAUAUUUUCAUGAGGUUAGUGAGAAGUUGGACUUUAAAAUUAUCAUUAAAACACAAGUAUGAUUUUGAGACACAGAAUGUCUCUUUCCUUUAUAUUAAACUCUUCACUGAACAUUUUCAUUGAAAGCCUACUUGCUUUUAGAGCAUGUAAAGGAGUACAAUUUUAAAACAAGUAGGUAAACUUGACUUCAAAAGGGGGUGAAUUAAGACUGAAUUACCCUUGAACACAAAGCAGCUUUCUAAAGCCAUAAUUCACAUGGAAAGGAAACAUCUCUAAUCAAGAGACAUUUCCAGUCUUUUUUCAGAAAACAAUUUAUGCGUCAUCUAACCUGAUGUACUCCCAGCUUCCUCAAAAUCAAUAUUUCCAAGAUGAAGGACACCAGCCACUACUCUAAAAAGAUCAAGUUUUUCUUCAUCAUCCAGUCCAAUCUUUUUCAUUGCUGUGCACAUUCUGUUGAAAUCUCCAUGAUCAUCUAACAGUGGAUCCUUCAAGGAACCUUCUUUAAGAUACUAUAAAACAAGAUAAACCACAAAUUUAGUAAGCGAUUUGAAGUAGGUAGGCAAAUAUUUCCAGUCAAAAAUAAGCCAUAACAAAAAGCAUAAAAAAGCAUGCCACACUAGGUAAAAAGAGAUUUGAGCUCUUCAUAUAAUACAGGCUUUGCAAGGACCCUAAUUUAUUUUAACUUGUUGAUACUUCGAAGCACCAUCUUCAAACUUAAAUUUCAAAGCAAACUUCAAACUUAUCUUCAGAAAGCAGAAGCUGGAGAAAGUGACAGCUAAGGACAAGGGGACACAGGAUAGCAAGCAGGAGAAAGGAAGACUUCAGAGCUAAGAGAGCUAUCAAAGCAUUUAUACAAAGGAGUUCUUCGAAUCCCAAGCAGUUGAAAGAAGAUCGAGGUCCUUGUAGUAGGAUGACAGAAUAACAGGCCAUGGGAAAGGACUAUAGGACAAAUCAGUUAUCCCUAUUCUAAACAGAAUUAUUUAGAGAAAUGUACCUCUUAAUAUUUGCUGCUAAUUAAGAAAUAGAACUUGCAGUGGUCUAUGGGUUAGAAGAAUAGCAUCUAUGUUCUGAAACACCAAUUUAACAUUUUGCUGAUUUUUCUGAUUUAUAUACAUAGAAAGCUAUUUUAACUAUAAACGAGUUUAAACAGUAGAUAGUAACACAUCUGCAUGCAAUCAAGAGACUACCUGAACAUGCACAGAGUGAGCUACGUUUUUACAGUUAUUUUUAAAUUUUUUUCAACUAAAAAGAAUAAUUAACUAAAUAGAAGCCUUGUUAAUGUCAAAUAAGCUAAUGUCAUUUUUAUCAAAACAAAACACCACAUGCAUCUGAAAAAUUCACUUCACACAACAUGUAGGCACAUCAAUAACAUUAAACUACAUGUUAAUUAUGUAAAAUGAUCACCUCAUCUUCCUGAUAAGGAAAACACAAAAAUAAUUGAAGUAUUAAUUGACUAUUCCAGCUAAUUUAUUAAAAUAAACAAUCUUAGUAUUUUUUAUAAAAUGACAGAGUAAAUACUAAAUUUCCAAUUUAAAAAGCUCAAUAAGGUAAUAUAUUUCUUGUUUAAAUGGCUAGACUAGGUUUAAAUAUCAUUGAACUUUGAUCCUCUAUUGAGCCUUCAAAUUGAUAUACCUGUAACAUACAAGUAUUAUUGUAUCAGAAGUUCCAGUACUUUAUGUUUUACAUAUAUUUUCAGAAUUAUUCUCUACGUAUGUUUUAGUUUAGACAACACUUAUUUCAAAGUAAGUCUUCUCUUAUUUCAAAUUAAGUCCUUUAGAGGACAAGUUUUAUGACAGAACACCCGCCUGUAAAUCAUAUCAGUAACAGAAGAUUGCACAGGUUCAUCUCCCAGUAGCAAGAGUAAGUGAAUGUUGAUACUCUAUGCCUACAUAAAGACCUGACCAGCGUCACUACAAAACUUCAUUUAAGGCAAAUUGGGUAAUCUGAGACAAAAUCUCCAACCCAUAUCAUAGCCUAUAUGCCUGACAUGAACAAAAUAAUCUAUGAGCUUUCUGCCUCACAGUAAUGUAAAAUCACUCUCCACCAUCCCUGAUUAUAGAAAAUAGCGUACGUUUAAGCAAAAGAAAUCAGGAUUAUGUGCUCAGUGUUACAACAUACAACCACUAGAAAUCAAGGAGUAAACAAUGCUGAUUUGAGAAAAGGAAGUAUCUAUACUGUGUCUCGUAGCUAGGCAUGAGCUUCAAGCCCAAGUUAUCAAAAGUAAAAGAGAUGGCAUGGUGAUUUGGUGGAAAGAAGCUUUUGAGUAAAGUUAUUUUUGUAUUUUUGCCAAUAUAUGCAGCUUAUCCUGCUAUGGAAUCACAAACACGAAUUUGAUUAAUAUUUGAAAUAUCUUCCAGCUAUAUAAAUGAAUUUCACUCUUGAGGUAUGAGUAGAUGAAAAUUUUAUUAGAGAACAGAGCAGAAGUUUAAUUAUGUGUUUAAAGAACUUCCAAUUCAUAUAUACUAUUAAUUCAGAACAAAUUCUUUAGUAUCCUCAUGUAAACAAGCUCAAAGGCUUAAAUGCUAAAAAAUCCUGGUAAUUCCAGUUCUUAAAAAUCAUAAACAGAGAUGGAGCAAGAGGACAUAAAUGUUUUUAAGUUUCACACUUUCUUCCAGGAAAUGCCAUGCUCUGACAUAACUAGCUGUUAACAGCAUGGGGAAAACAAAAACCAUGAAAGUGUAACAAGGAGGAGAAUAUAUUCAUGCUAGAAGUGAGGUUGAGUUAUAACUGAUAUCUGAAACAGUGUGGAGCAUCCCUUCACAACUCCAGAUAGUAAAAAUGGCUCUGGGAAAAAAACAUUGCUUCUGACUUAUUCUUAGCAGUAGUAAGAUUUUAAAAAGGAAAAUUACAGAAAGUCUUGGAUAGAUUUUUGUUUUCCACAGAAGACAAGCUGCAUAAUUUAGUGUUACCUUAUUAUAAGAAUGAAAAGGAAACCAUUUUAUAUACACUGUUCUGCUUGGGAUUUUACGAUGCAUGGUAAAAUGUAUUUCUAGGACUGAACUCCAAAACAGAGAUCUGAAUAGAGCAGCUUUGACAGUACCCAUUAGACCUAUAAAGAUGUGUAAAAUUCAUUCCAUUCUGUAAAAGUGUAAUAAUUUUCUACUCUAUCUGCAUUAGUUAGUAAUAUAAACUAACUGAAGAUACAAACAUACCUCAGGACUCUUGCGAUUUUGCAAAAUCUGUUUGUCCGUUUCUUUGUUAGCGAAAAAUCUGGUACAGCCUCGAUUUAAAUACUGUAACAAUAAAAAAGUGGAAGUGGAUACUUAAA